rnacentral:rRNA from 1 species
GAUGAACGCUGGCGGCGUGCCUAAUACAUGCAAGUCGAGCGAACGGACGAGAAGCUUGCUUCUCUGAUGUUAGCGGCGGACGGGUAAGUAACACGUGGAUAACCUACCUAUAAGACUGGGAUAACUUCGGGAAACCGGAGCUAAUACCGGAUAAUAUUUUGAACCGCAUGGUUCAAAAGUGAAAGACGGUCUUGCUGUCACUUAUAGAUGGAUCCGCGCUGCAUUAGCUAGUUGGUAAGGUAACGGCUUACCAAGGCAACGAUGCAUAGCCGACCUGAGAGGGUGAUCGGCCACACUGGAACUGAGACACGGUCCAGACUCCUACGGGAGGCAGCAGUAGGGAAUCUUCCGCAAAGGGCGAAAGCCUGACGGAGCAACGCCGCGUGAGUGAUGAAGGUCUUCGGAUCGUAAAACUCUGUUAUUAGGGAAGAACAUAUGUGUAAGUAACUGUGCACAUCUUGACGGUACCUAAUCAGAAAGCCACGGCUAACUACGUG